rnacentral:rRNA from 1 species
AGCAUGCCGCGUGUGUGAAGAAGGCCUUCGGGUUGUAAAGCACUUUUGUCCGGAAAGAAAUCGCGCUGGUUAAUACCUGGCGUGGAUGACGGUACCGGAAGAAUAAGCACCGGCUAACUACGUGCCAGCAGCCGCGGUAAUACGUAGGGUGCGAGCGUUAAUCGGAAUUACUGGGCGUAAAGCGUGCGCAGGCGGUUUUGUAAGACAGGCGUGAAAUCCCCGGGCUUAACCUGGGAAUUGCGCUUGUGACUGCAAGG